CCUCUCAGAUACAUAGCCCGUCCGCAGAUUUAGCAAAAUCAUUUCAACAGCCAGGCCUUAAGCACUAGAGGCAAACCCUUG